rnacentral:pre_miRNA from 12 species
AGAGUAGAUUACAGCCAAGGAUGACUUGCCGGCGUUUAUUCUUGCCAAUCCACAUUGUCAAAUUAGAUCGGCAAGUUGUCUUUGGCUAUAGUUUGUUCUUC